rnacentral:lncRNA from 1 species
UUGUAUUUAAAUCCUAAUUUGAAGUUCAAACUAAGAAUUUUUUAAUUGAAAGUGUGAGAGGGCUAGGCUAUUAAAUUUUGUUUUUGAAAAGGAGUUUGGGCUUGGGCGCUCAUCACUUGCUUAAAUCAGGAAAACUUUACCUUUGAAAAGCUGUAUUUGGGCUCAAGGUUUGUCUCAGUAGCAAAAAACUCAAAGGCUCUUGCCCUUGUUGGAAUCUUAAUCAAGUUUGCCCAUAUGGGCUAAUAUCAGGCGGGCCUAGCUACUACACAUUUUCUAGCUGGGCCUAUCCACCUUUACAAUUAUCCGAAUUUGCCCAUUCGCAGUAAUUAUAUUCAUUUUCUUGUUAAGUAAAUCACAAUAUUCAAAGAUCAAACAACAAUUCUAGUUAAUAAUUAAACGCGGAACUUAGCUAGACAUAGCAACAUAUUUUUAUACUAUAAUCUUCAAAGAAAAAUUCACAAUUAAAGUUACUCUACUGGGUUCAAUGCUUAGGCCCAUUUGCCUGGUCCAGAAUUGUUCAAAUGAGUCCCAUGUUGGGCCUUGUUGUAAGUCUGGCCCAAUUCAUGCCAUAUCCCGAACCAUUAUACAAUAAUAACAUUUAUUACAAAGAGGUCCAACUGCUAUGACCUUAUACUAAUAAUUAAAUAAAAUUUAAAUUUAAAAAUCAUUGUAACAGUCCAUUUUAUCUAUUGAAUAUCUCUGAAUUCACAAACAUGACCCUAAGUGUAAGUAACAUCUAAAAGAAAAGGAUAUAUUUUAAGUAAACAAAACAGAAAAUUCCUCCUAGCUUCAGGUUUUUUCCCUUCCAUUAGAUCCUCCAAACCAAGGUGUAAACUUGCAAGAAAUCAGAUAUAGAGCUGUUUCUCACAAGUCGACAUUUCAAACUCCAACCUUGAGGUUGUUUGGCUUUGUGGCCACUCACAUGCAAAACAACAAAAAUGAAAUCAUACUUCAGCAUUUACAUGGUUCCUAUUGGCUACUACAUCCCUAUUUUCAAAAUAACAAAACAAAGAAAAGCAGAUGACUAUUUAGCAUGCUCAACCUUCACAUUUUAGUCUAAUGUUUAACAAUUUUUUAAAGUUCGAGCAUGUAGAAAGAGAUGAGGUCACAAAUGAUUAUCAAUCCACACAAUGGGAGUCAUGCUGAUUUUUAGCAGUAAAUCUAAUUAUAUCUAUGAAAAUCAAUCAAAAACCACAUAAAACCUAUUUAUUAAACAAACUCAAUAUUUAGCAUUCCAUUUCAGAAAAGGAAAGAAUAAUACAUAAGGAAGGAACUGAAGGCAACAAUCAGAAAACAACAAAUAUAAUAUGAAAGGAAAAACUGGUUGAAAACUUCAGAAGAAAGGGAGCAACAAUUUUACUCAAAAAUUUAAACCAAAUCAAACUAGCUUUGAAACCAGAAAUUCCAGUUAAAGAAACCAAGAAAAUCCUCCACUUAAAACCAUGUUUCUUAGCUUGUGAAAGCAAGAAUAAGCUAUUUUGAAUGUUUUUUAAGAAAAUCAAAAGCAAAAGAAAUCAGCUUAACAAAAGGGAAGCAGCUAAACCUGAGAGACUAUUUUCUAGAGUUUUUAAAAUCUGAUGUUUUUUAGAAAAAACUUUUUGUGCAGAGAAUGGUGAUGAAUAUUUUUUAUUUUAUAGAGUGCAAAAAAAAGUAUAAAAAGGAAUAUUCUAACCUAAAAUUCUGAAAUUAAAAUAGCAUAAUAUUUUUUUACAACUGCAUGUCCUUUUCCCAACCACUUUCAACAUCUUUUGUUAAAAAUGGGGACAAUUGUCCAAAGACCUAGAACUUUCUGAUAUUAACAUGUAUAGAAACCCAAUUUUACCCUUACUUUUGCUAAUAAUUCAGUUUAAACCAAUUCAAACUUAAUAUUCAGAUUGUUUGAUUUACACAUUAGCCCCUUGUAGAACCUUCAAGGCAGUUCUAGACUUGGAAACCCUCCCCCGAUUUAGUUUUCAAUUGACCCUCUUUGUUAUUACUUUUUCAAUUCUUAAAUUAUUUAAAGCUUAAAAUCAAACUAACCUAAACUAAAACAAAACAGACUAACUAAACAAAAAUCCUAAUUGAACCUGAGCUAAUGACUGAAUCAUGGCAAUUAGUUAAUUGAAAAUGAACCUGAAUUCCACAACAACAAAUAAAAUAAAACAAAAAAUAACGGGAAAACAACAAUUAAAAACAGAAGCAGUAAUCCAACGAAUUUUAAUGACUAAAUGAAUUUACCUAAAUCUGAUUAAAUUAACAUUUCAUGCAAUUAAACUAAUUAAAAAGUAAUUAGACUAAUUAAUUUAUUAUUUCAAACAAAACAGUCUUGGAAGGCGUUUAAAGCUAACCCUAAUCAUUAAAAUUUUAACUAAGCAUUGAUUAGCCAAAUGACCUCAAUUAAAAACAAUGGGUGAGCACAUGCUAGUCAGAAAGAGGGAGAAAGAAAACACAGAAGAAAAUAAAAUAAAAGGGAUAACAAGGAUACCUAACACAAUCAACAUGGACGACUGACUUGAAAGGACUCCGGUGAAGUAAAAAAUCUUCGAAAUAGACCAAAAAUAAUGCUAAUCAAUUUUUCUCGCUGAGAACAAUCAAUUAGCAUAGGUUUCGAUCAAAUCGAGUCUCCAAAGCUUCAGAAAAAUCAAAUAGAUGACGUGCUAGGGUUUUCUGUUUGUUGUUCCAGAUACGGAUUUAGGGGAAUUUGAUGGGGUUUCAAGUCAGAUUGAUGGUGGAACGAUGAAGAAGGUGAGGCGAGGAGUAUGGGGUAAUGAUUUGGUUAGUAAGUUGACUUCUCAGAUCUGAAAUUUGGAGAUAUCUGAGGUGUUUUAAAGGAAUCCACCAAGGGAUAUGAAAUAAGGGGGAGAUGAAGAUCACGGGGUGAAGUUUUGAGGUGAUUUAGAGGUGGUCCUCCACCAUAAGGCGAUUUCCGGUCGGCGGAGCACGGCGGAGACAUCAUGGGUUAUAAGGGCGGCUAGGGUAUUAUUUUGAGAGAGUUUGGAGACGGAAACGAAAG